rnacentral:snoRNA from 1 species
GGAUCGAUGAUGACUCCCCCAAAUGCAUUCCUUGGAAAUCUGAACAAAAUGAGUGAGCCAUCCGUACCGUCUCCUCAUCGGAACUGAGGUCU